UACGGAGGGUGCAAGCGUUAUCCGGAUUCACUGGGUUUAAAGGGUGCGUAGGUGGGCAAGUAAGUCAGUGGUGAAAUCUCCGGGCUUAACCCGGAAACUGCCAUUGAUACUAUUUGUCUUGAAUACUGUGGAGGUCAGCGGAAUAUGUCAUGUAGCGGUGAAAUGCUUAGAUAUGACAUAGAACACCAAUUGCGAAGGCAGCUGGCUACACAAAUAUUGACACUGAGGCCCGAAAGCGUGGGGAUCAAACAGG
rnacentral:rRNA from 1 species